GGAGGGCACCCAGCUGUGCAACACUUCUCCACAUCCCCAUGUGAUUCCACUCUUCAUGAGCUGCCAUCUCUCAGCAGUUGGAGGAGUCCAUCUCAAGAUUCAAGGUGGUGCUCUCCAGGUGGGACACUGGUCUUGGACCAGGAGAAAAUCUGCAGCAUUUCCCUGGGAGCUGCUGUAAGGAGAGGUUAGCUGCAGGAAUUCAUCCUGGAGAGAAGCUCUGCGCCAUCUGGGGCCCCCUGCAAUGGCAGCGGGAAGGGAGGAAAGGCAGAGAAUGAGAGCUCUCCGGAACAGCUCAUGUGUUGGAAUGCCCAAUUUUCAACCAUAUCAAAAAAACCAUUCCUGAAGUCUUUCAUUCCUCUGGUGAGAGCCCUGUUUAAAGCCAAGGAGGAGGGAUGUUGAAGACAAAAACCUCUGCACGUGAUUUUGUGAGAGGGGGAAGCUGUUGUGUGAAUGGCUGAUGCAAAGGAAAUGAAUGAGAGGAGCACUGGGAAGUUUCAGAGCUGCUGUCUGCAGCCGAGGUACCAGCGCUACAUUCCCAGCACCGCUUCUUCUGUAGGUGGGAUUGCAAACAAGAAUUGCCAAAGCAUGUCAACACGAAGCACGGCUGCUCACAGUCAGAUGUUGCACGGGGGUGUCUUCAUUACAGUGCUGUAAUAGUGGCUUCCAUUAUGGCGCUCUCCCGCAGUGCAAGCAUUCUGGAUCAGAAGAGGCCUGCCGUUCCACAUGUGCGCCAGCUGCUUCCUUCACCCACCACAGUCAGGCCUAGCACUUUUUUAUUCCUAAUGAGUUACGUGUGUGGAAAGCACAAAAAAUGAAAGGCCGGGGAAGAUUUUUAGAUUGUUUCCAGCACGGAGAAGCUGGGUAAGAUCACAGAGAAGCCCAAGAAAGUCUCUCACAGCUGCGUGCACCGAAGACUGACUCAUUUCCCCGACUGCUCGUUGUGUCGGGCUGACAACGGGGAGGUCGUUUUUGUUUCUGAGAGCACGGAAGACUUCAGUCCAGUUCUCUGUUCUCCCUUUGUUCUGGCUCUCCUGUUUGCUUGGCUCUUUAUUCUCUGAUUUCGGUUAUGGAUUUACCAUCCUUCAGAGAUGCUGCCCACCUCCACCUCUCUCAUCUUAAAACCUCCCACGGUUCAGCGCUCAGACUGGCAGCCCCAGGAUGCCUGGUCAUGGCCUUGAUGCGUGUGGUAGUCAAGAAAGCUAAACUCCUAACAGAAAGCACUGCCCAGUAUGUAUUUAUCAUGCGGAGAGGUAAAGCUGUGCCUACUGGAGCUGAAGAAACAAUGGAAAUAAUGUGUAUUCAUAUGGACUGGCUCAAGCAGAGUACCCCCACCAUGACAGUACGUGUACAGCAUGCACAGGCCCUGCCUGCCUUCAGCAGCUCCAGGUGCCCUUUAGCUGUGCUCGGUGGCACACUUUCAAGGAGCACUGACUCUACGCCUUGUUUUGUACCAACAUCGCGUGUCCUUCAUCCAGCAGAGCCAUCCCAGGACAGGCGUAGAUCAAUCACACUGUCCUGACAGUGAGGCUGAUUUGUGGGCAUUGCACUCAUGUUCAAAAAUUCUCACCUGGUGGUGCUUGGAGUCUCUCAUCCCAUGCUGUAUUUGAAGCAGGGCUUGCAGAGUAGGACUCCUGCUUUGUUUUGAAAUCCUGCUCAGAAAUCUAGCUUAGAAAGAACUAGCAUGAUCAUGACAGCAAAUCUGAGCACCAAGCUGUUCCUGCCAAGCUGCACAGCAAUUUGCAGAAAGCUUGCUGACAGUAGCAAACACUUGCUGGCCUGUGCACAGGAAUUUCAGCUCUGGGCAUGCAACCAACUGAGCAUGUAAGCUUCUGUUUCUUUCUUUGAACCAUCCCUCUGCUUCAAAUAAUCUUCAGAGAAAAGGAUUCAAAACCUCCGUAUCAAAAUCCUGUAUCCAGUGGUCUUGAAAAGCCACAGAAAAAGCAAGGUCUGGCUCAAAGAGUGGGCUGUGGGGACAGAGGGGUGCUGGUGCUCACCUUGCUUGUCCCACUCAGAACAGUCAGGCCUGGGAAAGUGGCACUGAGUUGACACAGAUGAAGCGAAGCAGCAUUUGAAGGUCCCUACCCUCUAGUUAUGCCUGAGCAGUAUUUACAACAUUGAUUGCUACUGUACUGGAUAUAAGGAUGGGUUAAAGCCCUGGAGGUCACCCAAGGGGGUAGACUCUUGUUUCCUGAAAUGGUAGAGCCCAGCAGAUAGGCAAAGUGGAAGAACGUGCUCAACCUCUUAGUUAUAUAACAACAUAAAUAUAACCUAGCACUUUUCUUAGCAUCAGGUACAUGCUCUGGAAUUGGUUUCACUUAAUGUGAAGCGUCGCUCUCCAUUUCCCUUCUCAGUUUUAACAGCUGAUGUAAUCGCAGCUCUGCAAACUGCGGUUGCAUACUAAUGCAGUUGCUUCUGUAUCAAGUGAAGUACUUUGAGCUGUUCAUGAUAUCCUGCUGUAAUACUUGAGUGAGCGACCACAUAAAUGAAACCAACUUGUGGAUUCAGACCACCUGUUUGGUGGUGUCACGAAAGGAACUAAUGAUAAGACAGUGCUGGAGAAGGGAUCUUCAUUUAUGAUGAACGAUACUUUAGUUAUUAAGACUGUGGGUCUCUAUUUCAGGUAUGGAAAUGGCUGCAGUAAGGACCCACUGCCAGAAUUUUCAUACGGGAUACGAAAGAAAAGUUCCACUGUAAAGAGAAACUCAGCAGACAGUGAGAGGCAGCAAGGAAGAAAAGUAUUCAGUAGUUUGCAGGAUCACCAACCACUGUAAAGAGCACACGUCAGGUGUUUGAGCCAGCAUUCCAGCUACAGCUGCACAGCUGGGGGUACCUGGCUUCACUGAACACGCUCACCUGUGUCCCGACUGGCUCAGAUCAGCCCCACCAAGCUCUGGGGCUGCUCCUGCCUCUGUUUCACUCCGCGUGGCGACUGAGCUACUUUACACAAACAGAUCUGAUCAGUACUGACCAUGAUGGAGAAUUACAGCGGUUUUACCCGCUGAGGUCCUGGCUGGAGCGCUUAGAGGGCUGCAGUGUCCUUUGCAGUGUUCUUGCAUGCCUGCCCACCAGGCUGUACACAGUUAGCUCUGGCAGGGUGCUCAGCAGGUGGCUUUGGAGAUAAAUGAGGUAUCACAGACUCGGUGGUAUGAAGCUGCAUUCAGAUGGCUUGCACCUGAGAACAGCUGCUUAAUUAAAGGAAUAUCAUAGGAAAACAAACAAACAAACAAACAAACAAAAAACCAGAUCAGAUGUAGGAAGGAGAUGAAGGGUUUCGUUCUGCCUCACCUCAGGAGUCGGUCUUACUAAAAUACUGCUCUUUUUCUGACUUUUGUUUGCGUCCUAUGAGAAGCCCUGCCUGCUGCCUGGCCUCCCACUGCACCGAGCCCAGCAGAGUUAAGUGAGGUGGAGGCAGCAGACGUGACAGCAGGGGAAUGAACUGAUGCCUGUGGGUUUGCCACACGGUAUUACAGUUAUCUCCUUAAGCUGCGAGGCAGAAAUCUUGCUGCAUAAUGGGAAAGUAAGCUUAGCUGGUGGGAGUUACGUGUUCAUCUCUGAAACACCUGCAUGUCUGAGUGAUGCUUUCAGGAGAGCUGGUCAGAAGAAUAGUUCUCCUGUAAGAAAUACCACAAAAAGUCCAUCUGUGUUAUUCUGUACAGAACGCUGAUCUUUCGGGGCGGGGAAGGAAGAGAAAUUGCUAUGCCUCAUUGUAAAUGGUCAGCGGAACAGUGAAGACCUCUGCUUGGAAGCAUAGGAUAGGUCCUCAGGAGAGCUCUGAAUAUCAUCCACCUCAUCUAGCCCGUGUAUAAAUUGGGUGCUUUCAGUGAUCAAAGCCUGCUUUUACCUGCGAUAAGAUCCCAAUUCAGACGCACUUGCUGCUGCUCAUACCCGUGGUGUACCCAGCCCAACAGGUUUACAGCGCAUCCCAGUGCAGGGUGGGAGACCUCCCUCCAUGGGAACUGCCUCGCUGUGUCUCCUUCACUUGGGUGUGCAGGGCUUUGAAUAAACCCACAGUCAUACCUCCCAGCUCACAUCGCCGAAUGACCUUUAACAGAAGCAAUCAAAUGCAGCCCUGAGCUCCUCCUUUUCCCCAAGACUCACUAAAUACAGUGUAGUGCGCAGCACCUGGAGGUGAUUCCGUGCACAAAGGGCUGUACUGAUGCCUCUGCAAAAUAUCACAUUGGGGUCACUUCUGAAACAUGUGGUCAAACCUCAGCUGACAGGCGAAGCAGACGGUUUUGUUUCCAGCUCAGGCAUUUCCUUUACUUGACAUGGAACUUUGAGAGCCUUCCUUAGCACUCAACCAGGCUGCAAGCUGACACAUGGAUUCACUAGUGUUCUGCUUACAGUGGUUCAGAGUUUGGCCUGUUUUCUUGCACCAUGUGCAGACAAAUCCACCUCCCCCCAGAAUGCUCACAGGCUUUGAUUUUUACAGAAACGCUGGCCUAUCCUGUGACACAAGACCUUGAAGAUGCAUGUGCGUGCCAUUCAACUGAGCUGUUUCCAUGCCUCAAGUAGAGCACAUUGACUGCUUGGGCCAGGCUAUUGACAGAGCUGGAAUAAGCAAGUAUUUCUGGAUUUAUUUUUUGUGCUGAGGACAAAGCAAACAUCAGAAAUGUUUGUUCAACUAAGCUGACAUACACCCACCCCAGAAACUAUUUGCAUUUUGCCUGGGUUGAAUUUAUUUCAGGCCUUCCUAUUGCAUUCACAGAAGGACGACACAUCCCAGUCUGAAUGCUCAUAGGCAAAUAGCUUUAACAGCAAUUAGUUCCACUGAUAGGUUAUCUGCACAGCUGCCAGAGAUAUCGAUGAGGGGGAAAAAAAAAAGCUGUUUGGAAUAGUGACGUCUGAAACAACUGGUUUUAAAACAGGUAGAAAUACAGCUAUUGAUUGAUGGAAGGGGAUUAUUUUGGCCUCUAACGCACAGUUUUGCUUUCUUAGCUCAGCGAGACAAUGGUGAAGUUUUCAGAAAGGAAAAAAAGAAAAGCAGCAGGAGGUGAUUGAAUAUGUUUUGGAGAAAACUACAGAGUAUGGGAAGCCAAAGUUGUUUCCCCUAUUACUUCUCAACCAUCCAAAUCUGAUACUGAAAACACCGCUGAUAUUGGGGUCAGAGGUGCCAUUGUUCAGAACCUGCCUGGGAAGGCCAUACACAGUGGGAAGAGGGGAGUAACUGCUUUGCUGGGACGAGGAGAUGUGCAGGAGAGCUCUGCAGGCUGAGGAACUUGGAAAUGGAAAGUGACUUGUGCUGCUGGUAAACGACUGAGAAAUCAGCAGCGGGGUUUGUUCCUGAAUCAAGCCAACAGCCACGUGCCAGUCAGAGGGGCUUCACCUGUAUGCCUUUUCUUUGGGCCUCUGAUGAUCUGCCUUCAUUCAUGCCUACACGGAGGGGUGGAACGUGGCAUGGAUGGCACACGGCAUUGCGUGGAACCUCCACAUCAGGAGGAAUUCCAGUGAGAUGGCUUACUUUGGUCUUUUCAGAGUGGCUAAAGAACAAAUGCCUGCCUCUGUUCUCCCUUUGUCAGCCGGUCAUGGCAAGAACAAACAAAUUCACUGUCUAUAUGAUACUGUCCUAUGAUUCAGUCCGUGUAUGGAGCGUACCAGCUACCAUGCAUGGCCUGAUAGGCGUGGUGGUUACGCUCCACCUGCUGAACCAGGCAGCUGCGGGGAGAUGUUAACAGACUUACACACUGAUGAUGCUCUUAUCGAUAGGAAGAAAACGCUGCGGGAACGCUGCUGCUCUGAGGGCAGCGAGGGGAGAUGCUGGUGGGGCAGCUGCAGGCCUGGCGGGAUUUCCCGUGCACGCCGCUAUUCCCGGUUUCUGCAGUGCGCUCCCAGGAGGCGCUCCGUAGGAAGGAGUGGGGACGGGGGGACGCGGGGAGCAGCCGGGCCGGGCUCCGCCGCGGCGCCGCUCCGCCAUGGCCGGUGGCACAGCGCCCUCUGGCGGCCGCCGCGUGCAGGCGGUGUGCGUUACUGCGCUGCUCCGCCGCCUUCAGUCAGAUGCAGCCCCGCUAUCUCCGGGGUGAACCUUACACAACCUGCACGGCAGCUCAUCAUCAGAUGCAUAUUCGGCUGUAAAUUAUUAUCGCAGCUAGAACCAUAGGAUCACAGAAUCCUUAGAGCUGGAAGCGACCUUUAAAGGCCGUGUAGUCCAACUCCCCUGCACUGCACAGGGACACCACAACUGGAUCAGGUUGCCCAGGGCCUGAUCAGCCUGGC
rnacentral:lncRNA from 1 species